CGGCGACGGGCAGGCCCACGGGAGGCUGGCGGCCGCGGGGGCCCCCCCGAGGGCCCUAGAGAAAGCUUGAAAGACGUUCUCUCCCACCAAAGCAGCUCUGUUCAAAAUCUGGGAAGAAAUUUUCCACAACUUGUAGAAAAUUUGAACUGAGUGAUGAUGAUAUUGACUAGACUAAUGUAUCCUCUACGUCUCCAAAUACUUGAAAUGGAAAAUGAAAAGGUGACUUAACAGUGAUGCUGAGAUGGAUGUUUCUAGCCCAGGUGGCUGGCCACCUUGUGAACUUGGGAGGACCAGAGUCAAUGAGAGAUCUGGGUACUGGAAACAAGAGGUCAUCACUAUUACUAUGUCCUUUCUCAGAGGAGAAGAUAACCAUCAACUGAAAGAUGAGCCAUGCAUGCCAGGCCUCCAGAAGAUAUAGAACUUGAACGAUUGACUUGGACAGUACAAAUCUGUGAUGGAGGGGAAAUAUGUUGUCCCACAAGCAUUCUUGGAAUCUUUUCUAUCUCCUGCAGAAUAGAAUAGGAAUGAUGAGUUAUUAUUCCAUGAUUGAAAUAUUUGUCAAUAUGUGCUCAUCAGUCGUUUGGUUUGGUUUCGAGCAUUUAUUUUG